rnacentral:rRNA from 1 species
AUAUUCCUGUACUUCCAGUUAUUGCGAUGGAGGGACGGAGAAGGUUAGGCCAGCCUGGCGUUGGUUGUCCAGGUUUAAGGUGGUAGGCUGAAAUCUUAGGCAAAUCCGGGAUUUCAAGGCCGAGAGCUGAUGACGAGUUGCCUUUAGGCGACGAAGUGGUUGAUACCAUGCUUCCAAGAAAAGCUCCUAAGCUUCAGAUAACUGGGAACCGUACCCCAAACCGACACAGGUGGUUAGGUAGAGAAUACCAAGGCGCUUGAGAGAACUCGGGUGAAGAAACUAGGCAAAAUG